UCACCGACACCGACUUUCCGUUUUGAACCAACAAUGCAAGAAUCUAUAUCGUAAACAAAGAGCUACAGGUAAGCACCGACACUUGAAUCGAACGAGCUAGAGUGGGACAAUAAAUCCGUUGAGUUUGAGCAAAGGUAGCAAGCAAGCUCAUCUAAGACUUAUUCGGCUUCUUCUCUGACUCCAUCUUAUGCUGAACAUCCUUACCCG
rnacentral:lncRNA from 1 species